CAAGUAGGCGGUUUAAUAAGUGAGAGGUGAAAUCUUCCGACUUAAUCGGAAAACUGCCUUUCAAACUAUUAGACUUGAGGCAUGAAGAGGGAAAUGGAAUUCCAGGUGUAAGGGUGAAAUCUGUAGAUAUCUGGAAGAACACCAACGGCGAAGGCAAUUUCCUGGUCGUGUCCUGACGCUAAAUUGCGAAAGCUAGGGUAGCAAACAGGAUUAGAUACCCUGGUAGUCC
rnacentral:rRNA from 1 species